GACGAACGCUGGCGGCGUGCUUAACACAUGCAAGUCGAGCGGAAAGGCCUCUUCGGGGGUACUCGAGCGGCGAACGGGUGAGUAACACGUGAGUAACCUGCCCCAGGCUUUGGGAUAACCCUCGGAAACGGGGGCUAAUACCGGAUAUGACAUGUCAUCGCAUGGUGGUGUGUGGAAAGUUUUUUCGGCCUGGGAUGGGCUCGCGGCCUAUCAGCUUGUUGGUGGGGUGAUGGCCUACCAAGGCGAUGACGGGUAGCCGGCCUGAGAGGGCGACCGGCCACACUGGGACUGAGACACGGCCCAGACUCCUACGGGAGGCAGCAGUGGGGAAUAUUGCACAAUGGGCGGAAGCCUGAUGCAGCGACGCCGCGUGAGGGAUGAAGGCCUUCGGGUUGUAAACCUCUUUCAGCAGGGACGAAGCGUUUUGUGACGGUACCUGCAGAAGAAGCGCCGGCCAACUACGUGCCAGCAGCCGCGGUAAGACGUAGGGCGCGAGCGUUGUCCGGAUUUAUUGGGCGUAAAGGGCUCGUAGGCGGCUUGUCGCGUCGACUGUGAAAACCCGUGGCUCAACUGCGGGCUUGCAGUCGAUACGGGCAGGCUAGAGUUCGGUAGGGGAGACUGGAAUUCCUGGUGUAGCGGUGAAAUGCGCAGAUAUCAGGAGGAACACCGGUGGCGAAGGCGGGUCUCUGGGCCGAUACUGACGCUGAGGAGCGAAAGCGUGGGGAGCGAACAGGAUUAGAUACCCUGGUAGUCCACGCUGUAAACGUUGGGCGCUAGGUGUGGGGGGCCUCUCCGGUUUCCUGUGCCGUAGCUAACGCAUUAAGCGCCCCGCCUGGGGAGUACGGCCGCAAGGCUAA
rnacentral:rRNA from 1 species